UAUCGAACAACGCAUAAAAACAACCACGUUCCUAAUAAAAGCAUUCCUGCGAGGUGGCCCUCCAUGCGAGGACUAUCCAUGAAGUACGGAAAUCGUCAGAUGGAAUGGAGAGUGAGGAAAGCGGACGAUCUUGGGUGCAGUGUCAACCUUGCCGAUUCUGGCAGUUGUGGUUGGAAUUGCAAUGAUUGACCAUACAU
rnacentral:sRNA from 1 species